UAGGCGCAAUACUUAAACAAACACAGAAAUGUGGAGAAAUCAAACCAGUGGCAUAUUUUCCAAAGAAGCUAAAUGAAACACAAAAAAAGAAGAAAGCUAUAUUUUUAGAAUGCUUAGCCAUGAAAGAAAGUCUAAAAUUUUGGCAACACUGGCUGAUAGGAAACUCAUUUACAAUUUAUACGGGCAAUAAGCCGCUAGAAAAUUUAAACAUUAAGAACAGAACAGAUGAUGAAUUGGGAGACAUGACCCAUUACCUAUCACAAUACAACUUUGUAAUAAAAUACAACCCAGGUAGAAACAAUACUGAAGCGGAUUGCUUGAGCAGAAACCCUGUAUAUAAAAGUCACGAAAAUGAAGAAGACAACUUAAACAGUUAUUAUUAUAAAGAUUGAGGAAAUAUUAAAAGACCAAAAUAUAAACCGCAACGUAAAAGACAAGUACAGUUUCAUUAAAGAGAAUGGUACUACAAAUGGAGAAACAAGAAGAAAAAAAUUAUUUUGUCCGAAGACUACAGUAAGGUAUUAAUAAGAAAGGUGCAUGAACAUUUGUGUCAUGUGGGAAUAAAUCAGAUUGAGUCGAAAAUAAGACCUUUCUAUACAGCACCCAACCUAUUAAAUAAUAUAAUGUUGGUUUGCCGUCAAUGUGAAGUUUGUAUAAAAACCAAAUCAAGAUUAAAUAGAAAUUAUGGGCUAAUGUCACAACUAGGACCGUCAGAAAAACCUUUUCAAAUCAUGUCCAUAGACAGGAGGGUUUGGUGGCAACAGGUCUUCAAAAAGGUAUCUACACUUGUUAGUAGAUCUUUUUACUCGUUGUGCUUACAUUUCAUGCUCGAGGACACAACUGGCUAAGGACUACAUAAAACUCUCUCUCUGAUCAAUAUCCAGCACUGAAUUCACAAUAGUUAAAAAAAUAUUUAAAAGACCAUUCUGUUGAUUUAAUUUUUACUGCGGUGGAUUCUCCAUUUUCAAAUGGUCAUAAUGAGAGGUUAAAUCAUUGGUAAAUAGGAUUAGAUGUGCCUUAAACAGCAAAGGAAAAAGAACAGCUUGGACGACCGUAGCAAUGGAUUGUGUGAAAGCCUAUAACUCAACAAACCACACUGUGUCAAGUUAUUCACCUCUGUACCUGUUAAAGUGAGAACCAACUGAUGUAUUACCAGUGGAUCUAAAAAUAAAACAAUUGGAACCCGGAGAACUGGAAAAAAACAGACAUCCAGCAUUUCUCAGAUCAAACAAAUCACAUGAAUUAAACAAGGCCAGAUUUGACAGAAAUAGAAUAGAUUACAAUCUCCAAAAAGGCGAUAUGGUAUACAUAAUGGACUGUAAUAAGUUAAAUAGAUUGUUAAAUAGAUCUAAAAUGGAUGAAAUAAGAAUAGGUCCUUUUGAGAUUGAAGAAAUGAUAUCAGAUUCACUCUGCAAAAUUAACACUGGAAAGAAUAAAAAGUCCUUGGGAUUGUACCAUGUGACAAAGCUCAUUCCUCAGUAGGAUAACUGAACUUAACUCCAGUAAAUUUUCAAUUUUGAAGGAUGGAGAUGUAAGCUUUGUAUGAUGUGAACACAGCCUUACAAUAGAGUGAGUGAGCACUACCCUGCAAGACGGAGGUAACAGAUUGCACAAACACAUUGAAACAUUUUCAGCUGUUCACUAACACUGUUACAUUUUCUGGAAUUUUCAAUUGAAUGGGAAAAUACGUAAGUAAGAUAGAGAAAAACUAUCGACAUUCUAAACAUAUUGUAAUAUUAACUUGCUAGAAUAGGAGAGACGAAUGCCCAAUUUUUCAAGAAGAAGAAAACGAAAAGCGCAGUUUAUUUUGGUUUUUAAAGAGAGUAAACGAAAAAGAUUAACAACGAGAAAAAGAAAUCAUUUGGAACGUUUGGAUGCGUAUAACAAAGACGCACCAUCCAAUUAGCCGCAUCACCGGUGACUUGGAGGACGAGCAUUACGCGGAGCUCGCUAUUAGUUUAAGUAAAUAUUUGAUUAUUUUGAUGUUAUUAUUAAAUAAAGCGAAAUAAUAAAAAAACUGAAUUUUAUUUAAAAGAAUUGAAUUUGCUAGAAGUAACAAAUGGGUAACAGAUAAUCUUGUUACUGCUUGUUCUUGCUAACAUGCUUAUAUGUUAUAGGUAACAAACUGAUAACGAAAAUAAUAACACUAACAGAUAUUCGGGUUACAAAUACUUUUUGUUAUCCAUAACACAUAGGUAAGCAAUGCGCUAACAAAAGAAUUUGUUACCCGUAACAUACUGUGAAGAGAUUUGCUAACAAAUGCAUGUAUUCUGUUAGAACAAGGCAGCA